rnacentral:rRNA from 1 species
AUUGAACGCUGGCGGCAGGCCUAACACAUGCAAGUCGAGCGGAGCGGCGGACGGGUGAGUACUGCCUAGGAAUCUGCCUGGUAGUGGGGGAUAACGUCCGGAAACGGGCGCUAAUACCGCAUACUAUGAGAUGAGACUAGGUCUGAUUAGCUAGUUGGUGGGGUAAAGGCCUACCAAGGCGAAGAUCCGUAACUGGUCUGAGAGGAUGAUCAGUCACACUGGAACUCAGACACGGUCCAGGCGCCUACGGGAGGCAGCAGUGGGGAAUAUUGGACAAUGGGCGAAAGCCUUAUCCAGCCAUGCAGCGUGUGUGAAGAAGGUCUUCGGUGUGUAAAUCACUUUAAGUUGGGAGGCGUUACCAACAGAAUAAGCACCGGCUAACUUCGUGCCAGCAGCCGCGGUAAUAC